CCAGUUGUUUCUAGAAACAAGCACAAAAGGAUCGGGAGGCACUCUCCUGAAACAUUCGGUUUUGACCGGAAAGACAGCACAAAAGGAGACCCCGCCAGUCAUCAGCAGGAGCAGGCCUUCCUUGCCGUCCAGUCACCGCAUCCAUUGAUCCCUCCUGAUGACACCUGUCAGCUAGACCUGGCCUUCAGCGUAAAGAAGCCGACGUGUGAAAGAACAACGCAUGACUCCGUCUUCAGCUACACCGGUCCUCACCACCCACCCAGCUCUCCUCAGGAAAAAGACUUCCAUGCAUCCUGCUGAUGGAUAUUGAAUCCCAGCCUGCUGGGCAGCUGUGGAAUACUGGCCCGGAGUGAGGGGAUGGAGCAGGAGGGGGUUCUGAACGGACACAGGCGGCCAGUUUGCACAGCCAAUAUAGCUUGGUGUUCAUGGAAGCCACCAGAGAUGUGUCCUUCUAGAUGAACAACCGCAGGUCUCUACCGGUGAGAACUGAACCCAGGAGUAUGGAGUCUUGCCUGAAGCAGGCGCGCAUAAGCACCUCCUGGACGCUUGCCCAGAGUCAUCGGCCUUGGUUCCCACCGGUGGCCCCGUCGUCAGUUUGGAACUGAGACGCGGAAGAAGUAUAGGGCCUGAUACUUCACCAGACUCUUGUGGCAUCUCUGAAAUCCUAUUUCCUGUUACAAUCCCAAAGCAGGUGGAGUCACUGUGAGCAGCCAGGAACAGCUGAGGAGUUGUGGCCCCUCCCAUAUCACCCCCAUCACUGGGAGAUUGCCACAGACAAACUGCUUGCUCUACCAGGAGCCACCCUUGAGCACGCCCUUUGUUUGGGGGGUUCACUUGGGCAGGGUGUGUAGACCCAGCCCCUCCCAGGAAAUGCAAAACAAAAACAGGCCUGUGCUUCACAGGGGACCUCAGCUCCCUGGGGUAUUGAGAGUAACAAAGACAGGCCCAGCAGAAAGCAGCCAAAGCUGUCUCCACAGGGAAAGCCUGUGUACACAAGUGUACAGAUGGGGGUCCACAAACACCCAGAGAAGGCCACACAGUCUCUGUGACAAUUUCAGCUUUAUUCUGAGGAAAAUCUUAAAAAACAAUGUGAACAUGUUCACAUCACGAGUAAAAAACAUCUCCCAAACUAUUUCCGGAGAUUUCGGGACCACAUAGUGUCAAGUUGGGAGCGUAGGCGCCUGCCCCUCGCAUCUAUCCCAGCCCCCAGGCCUGGUCUAGACUCCAAAUCCCAGCAGGCCAGGUCCUGACCCCUCCCUGGGGGUGGUCUCCCUUUCUUCUUCCCCGGGGUCGCGUUUCUGCGGCUUCCUGGUUCCCCCUCGGGGCCACCCGAGAGCGCAGAUGUCCCAUUAAACCUGGAUAUUUCUUAAUUUGGCUUGUUUUGAUUUGGCUUGAUUGGGAAUUUUUGCAUCAGCAGGGAGCUAAUAUUAAGAAAUAUUCCUAACACAUAGUACUCAUCUUUGAAAAGUACUAAGGGAUUCAGGUUCUCCCAGAUACUGGGGAGUCUGAGGCAAAAGGAUUGUGUGAUCCUAGUUCAAGAUCAGCCUAGGCACCGCAUCCAAACCCCCACUUCUUUAAUUCAGUUGAUUCUAAAGAAUAGAGCAGGGCUACUUCACUUAGAAACACCAGCAGGUGUCAUUCUCUGGUGAAGUCCCAGUAAACACGGACAUCGUCCCUUCAGGGUGGCAUCUUCACAGAGCUUAGAUUCAGAAAACAGCGGAAUAGCUCUCAUGGAGGUGCUGACGAGGCUGGGCUGUUUUGGGGGCCUUGGUUGUUCAUUUCUAUACAUACUGGGGUGUGGGUUACAUAAGAGCUGUUGAAGGGUGCAGCUUGCAUGAUUUUAUGUGGGGCUGAUGUUCUGUGUGUUUAUAUAAAAUAAUGUUCAUGUUUACCGUGAUAGGCAAAAUUACAUCAACUCCAGAACUCUGGUUUCCUCUGUUAAGAGUACUGCGUAUGACUCAGGUUUAGAGACCACUGCUUCUGUACUGGAAUCCCACGUCUACGGUUAUGGGCAGCAGAGGUGGCAGCUGGAAGGCUUACCAAGUGGUUGGGAGCCGAGAACCAGCGGAGGGGAGGGCGCUAGGGUGGAGUGCUGCCACUGCGCUUGCCAGGAACGGCCCGGCCCGUGAAGCAGAUGGAGAGGGCGAGGCAAGGCAGCA